UCCCAGGGAGACCAGGAGUUUCCCCCUGGGUCAGCAGGGAGGGGUUUCCUGCGAGGAUCCCACGUGCCAAGUCCUCGGGGAUGCAAGACAUUCUGAGGAUGUGACUUACACGGGGAAGCUCACCAGGACUUCUCCGAUUCGAUAUAAAUAACUCUGCACUGGCAGAUGGGGCGCGAGCCAAGUAGUAAUGAAUACUAGGACAAACAAACAGGCCUCCGGGAUGCCGGCCCAGCCGCUCCAAACCACAGUUGGCAACAGGUUUGGAGGUGGCAGUGGGCGAAAAUCGUACCAGCAACACUGCAGUAAUCCUCGGGAGCGAACGCAGGGAGGCUCUCUCCAGAACGUGAGUGUGGAUCAUUAGGAACGGCCUUCCUGCGCGGAACUAGAGCAUGCGCUUAAAGGGGGGUAGCUGUGAAGCAUGUUAAUUUGCCUGAUUGGGUGCUUACCUAUUAACCGGCAAAUCAGGACUUACAGAGGGGACACUGUUUCCCAGGUGCCCUGCUUGAGAGACAGCAAGAGUCAUGAGACCGCUCCGGCCGCCUUUGGCAAACAAGAGUCUAUAAUUAUGCAGACGUGCAUGGGAGCAGAAGGAAAUCCUGGAUUGCGUCUAGCAGUAUCGUAUGCCGCACAACGAAUCCUGUGUAAAACGGGCUCUUUAUGGCAUUGUUGGGAUCCUGUUAAGUGAGGGGGGGAGGGGAAGUGAGAGGGAUCUAGAGUAGGAACAUUGGGGAACAAGGGAAUGCGGGAGGCGGGAUUGCCUUGAGCUCCAAGGCCAGGGGUGGCGCGGUAAUGAUGGUAAUGACGCAAUGACGAGGGUAGGAACAGGCCAGCAGCCAAAGGUGAUGGGGAGGAGAAAUGGAGACUCCUGCAUUACACUCAGAUGGGGUCCCCGCCCUCAGUAGAAGCAGACUCACAUCCUCUCAGGAUCAAAGCAGCCCCAUCUUAGGCCCUCAGGAUUUCCCCCACAUUAGGAUCAACCAAAGAUCCUGAAACCUACAAGCAAACAGGCCACCAUGAGUGAGAAUCAGUAGAAAUUAUGAGUCACAGAAUACAACCUCCUUCCUUUACGUAUGAAAUGAGCAGAUGCAAAAAUAUAUAAAGUGACAAUGUGUCCAGUAUGUAAAGACUGAAAGAAAGAAAAAUCAUAAAGAUAGGCAAGCUAUAAGAAACUAUAAAAAAAAAA
rnacentral:lncRNA from 1 species